rnacentral:rRNA from 1 species
GACGAACGCUGGCGGCGUGCUUAACACAUGCAAGUCGAACGGUGAGGCCCAGCAUUUGUGGGGUGCUCGAGUGGCGCACGGCUGAGUAACACGUGAGUAACCUGUAAUUGACUUUGGGCUAACUUCUGGCAAAUGGGGCUAAUACCGGAUCGGAGAUCAUGAUGCAUGGAGGGGUUUGGAAAGUAUCGGAGGUGGGGGAUGGCAUCGCGGCUGAUCAGUUUGGUCGGUGGGUAGUGGCUUACCAAGGCUUUGACGGGUCGCCGGCCUGAGAGGGGGAGAUGACACAUUGGAAUGGAACUGCGGCCCGGACUCCUACCGUAGGCAGCAGUGGGGAAGAUAGUACAAUGGGCGGAAGCCUGAUGCAGCAACGCCGCGUGCGGUAUGACGGCCAGCGGUUUGUAAACUACAGUCGCCUGUUAUGAAGCGAGAGUGACGGUAAUAGGGAAAGAAGCACCGGCUAACUACGUG